AUACCUUUCUCGGCCUUUUUGGCUAAGAUCAAGUGUAGUAUCUGUUCUUAUCAGUUUAAUAACUGAUAUGUGGGUCAUCGACUCACACGAUAUUAACUUAAUUUUUUAAGGGGGAAGGUCCAUUAAAGUAGCUUGCUACUUGGACUUUCAUGCGUCGCUUGGGCGUUGCACUAAAGCCUAGGCCUGGCACACCCCAC
rnacentral:snRNA from 2 species